GAUGAACGCUAGCGAUAGGCCUAACACAUGCAAGUCGAGGGGCAGCACAUGAAGUAGCAAUACAGAUGGUGGCGACCGGCGCACGGGUGAGUAACACGUAUGCAACCUACCUUCAACAGGAGAAUAACCCGGCGAAAGUCGGACUAAUACUCCAUAAUACGGGGAUCCCGCAUGGGAAUAUUUGUUAAAGAUUUAUCGGUUGAAGAUGGGCAUGCGUUCCAUUAGCUAGUUGGUGAGGUAACGGCUCACCAAGGCAACGAUGGAUAGGGGAACUUAGAGGUUUAUCCCCCACACUGGUACUGAGACACGGACCAGACUCCUACGGGAGGCAGCAGUGAGGAAUAUUGGUCAAUGGAGGCAACUCUGAACCAGCCACGUCGCGUGAAGGAUGACGGCCCUACGGGUUGUAAACUUCUUUUGUAAGGGAAUAAAGUUUAGUACGUGUACUAUUUUGCAUGUACCUUACGAAUAAGGAUCGGCUAACUCCGUGCCAGCAGCCGCGGUAAGAC
rnacentral:rRNA from 1 species